rnacentral:siRNA from 1 species
UCAAGUCCAAAGGUCCUACA